rnacentral:rRNA from 1 species
UACGUAGGGGGCAAGCGUUGUCCGGAAUCAUUGGGCGUAAAGAGCGUGUAGGCGGUCCAGUAAGUCCGCUGUGAAAGUCAAGGGCUCAACCCUUGAAAGCCGGUGGAUACUGCUGGACUAGAGUCCGGAAGAGGCGAGUGGAAUUCCUGGUGUAGCGGUGAAAUGCGCAGAUAUCAGGAGGAACACCGAUGGCGAAGGCAGCUCGCUGGGACGGUACUGACGCUGAGACGCGAAAGCGUGGGGAGCGAACAGG